rnacentral:lncRNA from 1 species
CAAAUGCCGAGUGUCUUCGCUGAGCCCCUCCCCUGUGCAAGGCAAAAAGCAAAGUCUCUUUCCCUGGGUGGGGCGCUUGUCGGCACGCCCCUCUGGGCGGGGGUCGUUUGAAAGACCGGGAGCUGUGUGGACCGGGGCCCGGAACUCAGAAAGUGUAUUGGCCAAUCAGGACCGUGAGCGGUGAGGCUGACGACACGUGGGCGGGGCGCGCCCUCUGCAGGAUCCUGCGGGCGGCUCGGACCGUGGAGACCUAGAAUCAAUUGCAGAAUCAAGCUCUGGAGCAGACAUCUGGGGUUUUGUAAGUUCUCCUUGGCCCACCUGGGCUGUUUGGAGUGCUCAGACUCACCUCCCAGGAGGGCAUCCUAUGGUAUCCUUGGGAAUGGAGCCAACCUUUUCCACGAGGGAGCAGUCAUCUACAGGACAAGCCUUAGGAUCCUGGAGUUGGGCUGUUUCCAUGAGGGGAUCCCACUGAUGGGCAGGGAAGGAUGCUGGACCUGAAUCUGCAGACACAACUAUAUCAUUCUGAGCUCUUGCUGGUGGACUUGCAGGCAAAAGAGGAAGGGAUAACAGACCCUGGCUGUUAGGAGGCUGUUGAGUGUUACCACACAACUGGCACUUAGAGGAGUUGUGCAUUGGAGU